GCUGGCGGCGUGCUUAACACAUGCAAGUACGAACGACGAAAGUCCCCUUCGGGGGGUGAGUAGAGUGGCGCACGGGUGAGUAACGCGUAGGUAAUCUACCCUUAUGUUCGGGAUAACAUCGGGAAACCGGUGCUAAUACCGGAUGAAUUCUUAAAGACGCGAGUUUUAAAGAGGAAAGCUGCCCUCUGAUUUAAGGUAGCGCAUGGGGACGAGCCUGCGUACCAUUAGCUAGUAGGUGGGGUAAUGGCCCACCUAGGCGACGAUGGUUAGCGGGUCUGAGAGGAUGAUCCGCCACACUGGAACUGGAACACGGACCAGACUCCUACGGGAGGCAGCAGUGAGGAAUUUUGCGCAAUGGGGGAAACCCUGACGCAGCGACGCCGCGUGAGUGAAGAAGGCCUUCGGGUCGUAAAGCUCUGUCAGAAGGGAAGAAGUGCUGAGUGGUUAAUACCCAUUUGGUUUGACGGUACCUUCA
rnacentral:rRNA from 1 species